AAAAAUGCCCUUGAUGACCAAGUGUGGCAGUUGUGUUUGAGGCUCAGGGAAAUUGUAGAGCUUGUUUGUGCAUCCAAGAUUCACACCAAUCAGGUAGCCUAUCUCAAGGUUCUCAUCAGGGAGUAUGUUCAGAUGCGAGUGGAUAUUUUCCCAGAUAACCCUAUCAAACCAAAACACCACUUCCUUCUCCACUAUCCAGACCUAAUCCUUAAAUUUGGUCCUCUCAUUCGUCUUUGGACAAUGCGGUUUGAGAGUAAGCAUACAUAUUUUAAGCAGUGUGCACGGAAGCUUCACAACUUCAAAAACCUCUCCAGUACUCUGGCAGAAAGGCACCAGUUGCUUCAGUCGUAUCUUCAUGCUGGUAAUGUCUUUCCUCCUGUUCUUCAAGUAGGUCAGGCUGAUGAGUUUAAUGCCCACAUGUAUAAUUUCGCCAUUCAAGAAGCUGUACGACUCGGUAAUUUGACUGGUAGCAUCAUGGAGACAGCCAUGGUCACAUACAAGGGUACAACAUAUAAGAAGGGAAUGAGUGUUGUACUUGAUGUUAGUGAUGGUGGAUAUGUGCUGGGGAAGAUUGCUCUGAUAAUAGUCUGCCAGGAAAAGGUGUAUUUUGUUUCAGAGAGACAUCAGUCAGUGCCAGUGUUGGAUCUUGGUGUGCACUGUGUACAGCAUGACAGUGAGACUUGUUAUGUGUGUGUUUGUGUCGACGGGCUUGCAGACUAUCACCCAGUGUCUGUUUAUAGACAUUUGGAUCUCGAACUUGUUGUGCUUCACCAUUCUAUCUGUUUAGGUUGCAAGACGACAUGGAGUCAAUCAUAAAGGGCACUCUUGCCCACUUGAGUGAGGAGACGCUGACAUGUCUUCUUGAACACCUCUCUAACAUUGGCAUAAGGACCUCAGAUGACUUCAGAUUUCUAACAGAGGAUGAUUUAAAACAAAUGAUUUCAUUGAUUGAUAGCAGAAAACUUCUACAUGCAUUUAACAACAGAGGUGGUGGUGGUACACAGUGCAGUCAGCCAAGUGACAAUGCAGCAAGUGAAACAAUUACACUGACAUUAACUCCAGUUACUGAAUUGGAAGUCUCCUCAAUAAUGACUUCACCACAGUGCAGCGUUCCUUUGCAAAAUAAAACAUGGACUACGACAUUUAAAAUUCCAUGGGAGAAGACUAGGCCCACUCUACAAAGAUGUCUCGCUCAGAACACAAUCCCAGAAGACACAGACAGACGGCACAUGGUUAGAAUCACUGUAGAUGCCAUGAGAGAAAAAUGCUUAAACCCAACAUGGAGUCAGUGUACAGUAAUUGCUAAAAGUGUAGUUGACAAAUACCCUGGUAGCUUUGAAGACAGAACAGAUGAAGGUGACAGAAUGGGCAAUGGAUACUUCACGUUGUCCUCACAACUGAAAAAUAGAGUGGAUAACCUUAACAGAAACAAUACCCUUGCCCGUCUCAGAAAGCCAAAAAGACCUGCGGAUACUAACAAUGUCCACCCAGCACAGCCAGAAAAAGUUGCAAAAACUGACAGUUAUGGAUGCAUAAACUGGCAGCCAUCUCAAUUACCAGAAGGAGAGACAAUAGACUCUCUACAUCAUAAAAAGAAGAACUUAAAUUAAUUUUCUCUCAAGAAGGACCAAGUGGAGCAGACCGUGUAAGAGUGAAUGAUUUGAUGGUCUUAACUUAUGCAAGUCAGCGCAGUGCAAUAAACUCCACACCUUCACUUAGUGUACAUGAAUUGAAUAGAGAAUGGCCUUUCCUGUUUAUGAAUAAGUUUUUAAUGCAGCACUUCACUUCACUUACUGGGAUCGAGCUUGAUGAAAGGCUGAGAGAAUGCAUUGCUGGAAAAGGAAGGAGGGUGCUCCAGUUCUUCAAAACUCAGUUUCUUCGCUGGACAAAAGAAGUGAAGACUGUUCUUGCCGACAUUGAACGUCUCCAAGGCGAAAACAUGGACUCAACAAUCGCUGUCAUAUUGCUGAUGAUGACCUUCUUUAGAGAGAAAGAUGAUGCCAUUUUCCUUCUUGCUGAUGUCACCAGUACCCAUGCAGAUGCUGAAGCUCAGUUGUCGCUUCCCACUACACCAAGAAUAAUCAUGCUGGGAGAUUCCAUCCUGACAUCGAAAAAAUGGAUGCUCUGCGUAGAAGGAAAGGUGGUCAUCCAGUCAGUUAACCCUCAGGAUGACUUCACAUCUGCCCUGGCUGUCUUCUUCGCUUCUUUCUAUAUAUUCAACCUGGAGUACCAAGCUGAGGCUGCAUCAACCCUGGAAUUCAUCCAGAGAUUUUUGGUCAGGAUAAAUCCAGAGAACACAAAAUGCAGAGCCAAAUUUCAGCAGAGCCAUAACAGUGGCAGGAUGGUGCAACGUAAAAACAGGGCCCUGAAUCCACAUGUUGCCAGCUUCAUCAAGGAAUUCACCAACUAUGACUGGCAGAAUUAUUAGAAUUAGCGUGUAUGUAGUUGUUCGACAUUGCAGCGCGCUGAUGAGUAUCGCUCUUAUGGUUAAUACAGAGCAUGUAUGUAGUUGUUCGACAUUGCAGCGCGCUGAUGAGUAUCGCUCUUACGGUUAAUACAGAGGCAGCAAAAAUCUGGGAUCUGCAUUGGCCCUUCGAAGUCUGGACUGGAGAAUGUUUUUACAGUUUAAUGAAUUAAAUUUUAAUAAAAGUUUUUAAAUGGACUUCUGAGUGUUGUCAUAAUUGAUGUGACAUCUUAUAAUUAGUAAUAUAACUGUGAAAUAUUUGUGCA